GAUGAACGCUGGCGGCGCGCCUAACACAUGCAAGUCGAACGGCACCCCUCCUCGGAGGGAAGCGAGUGGCGAACGGCUGAGUAACACGUGGAGAACCUGCCCCCUCCCCCGGGAUAGCCGCCCGAAAGGACGGGUAAUACCGGAUACCCCGGGGUGCCGCAUGGCACCCCGGCUAAAGCCCCGACGGGAGGGGAUGGCUCCGCGGCCCAUCAGGUAGACGGCGGGGUGACGGCCUACCGUGCCGACAACGGGUAGCCGGGUUGAGAGACCGACCGGCCAGAUGGGGACUGAGACACGGCCCAGACUCCUACGGGAGGCAGCAGUGGGGAAUCUUGCGCAAUGGGGGGAACCCUGACGCAGCGACGCCGCGUGCGGGACGGAGGCCUUCGGGUCGUAAACCGCUUUCAGCAGGGAAGAGUCAAGACUGUACCUGCAGAAGAAGCCCCGGCUAACUACGUG
rnacentral:rRNA from 1 species